GCCGAGGUGGUGAAAUUUGGCAGACACGUGAGACUCAAAAUCUCAUAUCAUAUAUUUUGAUAUGCGGGUUCAAGUCCCGCCCUCGGCA
rnacentral:tRNA from 1 species